UACAUGAGGUCUCUUGGAUAUAGAUAUAUUGAUUUCUUGUUUGAAACCCAAAAGUUUUAGAUAUACAUAACCUUUUUGACCACUUUGUACAUACAACCUAUAUAUUUGGAUUGAAAUAAUCAGACAAUUUGAUUCACUGGCAACUGGAAAGAUUUCAUUGGCUAGUUUGAAAAGCAAAUACAUUGGCCCCGCCCCCGCAACGUUUCUCAGGAACGAACAAGACCUCCUGUGACUGGCAGCAGGGCAGCAGGAUGAGGACCAACAGUUGAAAUAUUCAAUGAGAAAUAAGAGGAAGAAACAGAGGAAAGAAGACAAGGAACGAUGAGGGUACCAGGGUAGCAGGGUCGUGGGGGAAAACCUGAAGCAAGAAUCCUAUGACUCCCCUGAUCGCCAUUGUCCUGCUCCUCUUGGUCUGAUGAAGUCAGAGAGGAGGACCGCUGCUGGAUGUGCAUUUGCGCUAAACCCAGGAUGUGGAUGAUGAGGACGCCUACAAACACAUCCAAAUUGGAAUCUUCGUUAUUCAUCAUGAUGGUGUUGCACUACAAUCCCCUAAAACACAUCCUUAUGGACAUUUUGUGAUGGACAAUAUCAAAAACUUGCUCCAGGCAAUGUGCCUACCCGAUGGCUUGACGUGCACUUCACCUGAACUACCCAAAAUGCAUGGUAAACACAUUCCGGUUCAUUCAACAGGUUUUUCUUGGGUUUGGAGAAAAAGGAGUUGAAGGCCAAAUUGCUCUCUUUGACUAAUAAGCUGGCCAUGUAAGGUCACUUCAGAUUAGUAUUUUACAUUUCCCACUAUGUUUUCAGAUGGAUUGGUCUGUCAUACGGUAUAGUGGUUAAGAUUGAGAUUUGCACACAUGCUACUAUUUAGAGCAGUGGUUCUCAACUGGAACAGUCUUGGGACCCACCAUUUUCUUCUCUCAUUCGGUUGCGACCCAAUUUUU